rnacentral:rRNA from 1 species
GACGAACGCUGGCGGCGUGCUUAACACAUGCAAGUCGAACGAAGUGGCGAACGGGUGAGUAACAGGUAAUCAACCUGCCCUUCAGAGGGGGAUAACAGUUGGAAACGACUGCUAAUACCGCAUCCUGUAGGAGGGGGUUGCGUCUGAUUAGCUAGUUGGAGGGGUAACGGCCCACCAAGGCGAUGAUCAGUAGCCGGUCUGAGAGGAUGAACGGCCACAUUGUGACUGAGACACGGCCCAGACUCCUACGGGAGGCAGCAGUGGGGAAUCUUCCGCAAUGGACGAAAGUCUGACGGAGCAACGCCGCGUGAGUGAUGACGGCCUUCGGGUUGUAAAGCUCUGUUAAUCGGGACGCGGUACCGGAAUAGAAAGCCACGGCUAACUACGUGCCAGCCGCCGCGGUAAUUC